AACGAACGCUGGCGGCGUGCUUAACACAUGCAAGUCGCGUGCGCAGUUGCCGUAGCAAUACGGUGAUGGGCGCACGGCGCACGGGUGCGUAACACGUGGGCAAUCUGCCCCUUUGAUGGGGAAUAACCCGCCGAAAGGCGGGCUAAUUCCGCAUAAGAUUCCCGGAACUUCGGUUCUGGGAUUGAAAGCAGCAAUGCGUCGAAGGAGGAGCCCGCGCCCGAUUAGCUAGUUGGUGAGGUAACGGCUCACCAAGGCUAUGAUCGGUAGCUG
rnacentral:rRNA from 1 species